rnacentral:rRNA from 1 species
GCUUCUUUAAGGUAAGGAGGUGAUCCAACCGCAGGUUCCCCUACGGUUACCUUGUUACGACUUCACCCCAGUCAUGAAUCACAAAGUGGUAAGCGCCCUCCCGAAGGUUAAGCUACCUACUUCUUUUGCAACCCACUCCCAUGGUGUGACGGGCGGUGUGUACAAGGCCCGGGAACGUAUUCACCGUGGCAUUCUGAUCCACGAUUACUAGCGAUUCCGACUUCAUGGAGUCGAGUUGCAGACUCCAAUCCGGACUACGACGCACUUUAUGAGGUCCGCUUGCUCUCGCGAGGUCGCUUCUCUUUGUAUGCGCCAUUGUAGCACGUGUGUAGCCCUGGUCGUAAGGGCCAUGAUGACUUGACGUCAUCCCCACCUUCCUCCAGUUUAUCACUGGCAGUCUCCUUUGAGUUCCCGGCCGGACCGCUGGCAACAAAGGAUAAGGGUUGCGCUCGUUGCGGGACUUAACCCAACAUUUCACAACACGAGCUGACGACAGCCAUGCAGCACCUGUCUCACGGUUCCCGAAGGCACAUUCUCAUCUCUGAAAACUUCCGUGGAUGUCAAGACCAGGUAAGGUUCUUCGCGUUGCAUCGAAUUAAACCACAUGCUCCACCGCUUGUGCGGGCCCCCGUCAAUUCAUUUGAGUUUUAACCUUGCGGCCGUACUCCCCAGGCGGUCGACUUAACGCGUUAGCUCCGGAAGCCACGCCUCAAGGGCACAACCUCCAAGUCGACAUCGUUUACGGCGUGGACUACCAGGGUAUCUAAUCCUGUUUGCUCCCCACGCUUUCGCACCUGAGCGUCAGUCUUCGUCCAGGGGGCCGCCUUCGCCACCGGUAUUCCUCCAGAUCUCUACGCAUUUCACCGCUACACCUGGAAUUCUACCCCCCUCUACGAGACUCAAGCUUGCCAGUAUCAGAUGCAGUUCCCAGGUUGAGCCCGGGGAUUUCACAUCUGACUUAACAAACCGCCUGCGUGCGCUUUACGCCCAGUAAUUCCGAUUAACGCUUGCACCCUCCGUAUUACCGCGGCUGCUGGCACGGAGUUAGCCGGUGCUUCUUCUGCGGGUAACGUCAAUGAGCAAAGGUAUUAACUUUACUCCCUUCCUCCCCGCUGAAAGUACUUUACAACCCGAAGGCCUUCUUCAUACACGCGGCAUGGCUGCAUCAGGCUUGCGCCCAUUGUGCAAUAUUCCCCACUGCUGCCUCCCGUAGGAGUCUGGACCGUGUCUCAGUUCCAGUGUGGCUGGUCAUCCUCUCAGACCAGCUAGGGAUCGUCGCCUAGGUGAGCCGUUACCCCACCUACUAGCUAAUCCCAUCUGGGCACAUCCGAUGGCAAGAGGCCCUAAGGUCCCCCUCUUUGGUCUUGCGACGUUAUGCGGUAUUAGCUACCGUUUCCAGUAGUUAUCCCCCUCCAUCAGGCAGUUUCCCAGACAUUACUCACCCGUCCGCCACUCGUCAGCGAAGCAGCAAGCUGCUUCCUGUUACCGUUCGACUUGCAUGUGUUAGGCCUGCCGCCAGCGUUCAAUCUGAGCCAUGAUCAAACUCUUCAAUUUAA